AGAGUUUGAUCCUGGCUCAGGAUGAACGCUGGCGGUGUGCCUUAGGCAUGCAAGUCGAGCGGGCCGCCGUAAGGCGGCCAGCGGCGAACGGGUGAGUACAACACAGGAACGUACCCUAAAGUGUGGAAUAAUUCCGCGAAAGCGGAACUAAUACCGCAUAGUCUCGCAAGAGUAAAAGGUGUAACUACUUGCUUUAGGAGCGGCCUGUGGGCUAUCAGCUUGUUGGUAAGGUAAUGGCUUACCAAGGCGACGACGGCUAGGGGGCGUGAGAGCGUGGCCCCCCACAAGGACACUGAGAUACGGGUCCUACACCUACGGGUGGCAGCAACCGGGAAUAUUGCGCAAUGGGCGAAAGCCUGACGCAGCGACACCGCGUGGAGGAUGAAGGCCUUCGGGUUGUAAACUCCUUUUAUAUGGGAAUAAAGAAAAGGUGAGGGACUGAAGGUACCAUACGAAUAAGCACCUGCUAACUACGUGCCAGAAGCCUCGGUAAUACGUAGGGUGCAAGCGUUAUCCGGAAUUACUGGGCGUAAAGCGUCGCGUAGGCGGUUAUAUAAGUGCAUGGUGAAAGCCUUGGGCUCAACUCAAGAAUUGCUGUGCAGACUGUAUAACUAGAGGACGUUAGAGGAUGCUGGAAUUCUCGGUGGAGGGGUGAAAUCCGUUGAUAUCGAGAAGAACACCAAGGGCGAAGGCAGGCAUCUGGGACGUUACUGACGCUGAGGCACGAAAGCUAGGGGAGCGAAAGGGAUUAGAGACCCCUGUAGUCCUAGUAGUAAACUAUGUUCACUAGUUGGUCCGGCAUAAGCCGGACUGACGCAAGCUAACGCGUUAAGCCGGACUGACGCAAGCUAACGCGUUAAGUGAACCGCCUGGGGAGUACGGCCGCAAGGUUAAAACUCAAAGGAAUUGACGGGGAGGCGCACAACCAGUGGAGCAUGUGGUUUAAUUCGAUACGAAGCGUUGGACCUUACCUGGGCUUGACAUGUACCUGCACGGUCAAUGAAAGUUGGCCUUCUUCGAGAGUGGUACACAGUUGCUGCAUGGCUGUCGUCAGUUCGUGUCGUGAAUUCUCGACUUAAGUGUGGCAACGAACGCAACCCGCAUCCUGUGUUAUAUUUUCACAGGAGACUGCCUCGCCACAAGCGGGGAGGAAGGAGCGGAUGACGUCAAGUCAGCAUGGUGCUUACGCCCAGGGCUACACACAUCCUACAAUGGAACCGACAAUGGGUUGCCAAGCCGCGAGGCGGAGCUAAUCCUCUAAACGGUUCCUCAGUUCGAUUGCAGGCUGCAAUUCGCCUGCAUGAAGCCGGAAUUGGUAGUAAUCGCGGGUCAGCAGACCGCGGUGAAUACGUUCUCGCCUCUUGUACACACUGCCCGUCAAGCGAGGAGAGUUGGGGGUACCCGAAGACGUUUGCCUAACCGCAAGGAAGGCGGCGUUGAAGGUAAACUCAGCGAUCAGCACUAAGUCGUAACAAGGUAACC
rnacentral:rRNA from 1 species